rnacentral:sRNA from 1 species
UCUUACUUCAUAGACAAGAAAACCUAACAGGUUUUAGAAAUCUGUUAGGUUUAAUUAGAUAUGGUAAAAUU